AAAUUUUGCAACUCUUCGGGUGAAUAGCGGCGGACGGGUGAGUAAUGUCUGGGAAACUGCCUGAUGGAGGGGGAUAACUACUGGAAACGGUAGCUAAUACCGCAUAACGUCUUCGGACCAAAGAGGGGGACCUUCGGGCCUCUUGCCAUCAGAUGUGCCCAGAUGGGAUUAGCUAGUAGGUGAGGUAAUGGGUCACCUAGGCGACGAUCCCUAGCUGGUCUGAGAGGAUGACCAGCCACACUGGAACUGAGACACGGUCCAGACUCCUACGGGAGGCAGCAGUGGGGAAUAUUGCACAAUGGGCGCAAGCCUGAUGCAGCCAUGCCGCGUGUGUGAAGAAAGCCUUCGGGUUGUAAAGCACUUUCACCGGGGAGGAAGGCGGUGAGAUUAAUACUCUCAUCGAUUGACGUUACCCGCAGAAAAAGCACCGGCUAACUCCGUGCCAGCAGCCGCGGUAAUACGGAGGGUGCAAGCGUUAAUCGGAAUGACUGGGCGUAAAGCGCACGCAGGCGGUUUGUUAAGUCAGAUGUGAAAUCCCCGAGCUUAACUUGGGAACUGCAUUUGAAACUGGCAAGCUAGAGUCUUGUAUAGGGGGGUAGAAUUCCCGGUGUAUCGCUGAAAUGCGUAGAGAUCUGGAGGAAUACCGGUGGCGAAAGCGGCCCCCUGAACAAAGACUGACGCUCAUGUGCGAAAGCGUGGGGAGCAAACAGGAUUAUAUACCCCUGGGAAUCCC
rnacentral:rRNA from 1 species